UACGUAGGGGGCAAGCGUUGUCCGGAAUCAUUGGGCGUAAAGAGCGUGUAGGCGGCCAGAUAAGUCCGCUGUGAAAUCUCGAGGCUCAACUUCGAGCUGUCGGUGGAAACUGUCUGGCUAGAGUCCGGAAGAGGAGAAUGGAAUUCCUGGUGUAGCGGUGAAAUGCGCAGAUAUCAGGAAGAACACCCGUGGCGAAGGCGGAUCUCUGGGCCGAUACUGACGCUGAGGAGCGAAAGCGUGGGGAGCGAACAGG
rnacentral:rRNA from 1 species